ensembl:lncRNA
CCUUUGUACACAUGUGUGUCAUGUGGCCACAGCGCUUUAUGUUUGACGGUGAACGGGUUUCAGCGUGGAAGGGGGCUGAGGAGUGACAGGUCGUGAGUGCUCUGCCGGAGGACAGGAUCUCAGCAGGCCUGGGGAUGUUGUGAAUGAUGCUGUUGCAGACACAAAACAAAAUCGAUUACUUAUGGAUAAGAUAUCUUGAAGAUCUUUAGGAGAGUGUACAACUACUUGGGGUGCAAGUUGUGGACUGGUGAUCUGGUGACUUGGACUCGAAAUUGAAUCCCGCAGAAACUUGGGAUUCGACGUCGUCUCGAGGCGCCUGUGGUGUGAACAUGCGAGGUAACUCCAGCCUUCAGGACAACAUGUCUGCCAGCCAGGAGGCGGGGAGGAUGAUGAUGACGAGGAGGAGGAAGAGGAGGCAGACGGUGUACACAACAGACCAAGAACCGGGGAGCAAAGAUGUGGGGAUAUCUGACCAGCUGAGAGGCACACCGUGAGACAAAGAGACGCACAUACAGUGAGCUGGACAAACAGAGACGACGGUGAGCUAGACAAAGAGACAGACGAACAGACAAGUGAGCCAGACAAACAGAGAGGUACGGAGAUAGUCGAACGGACAGACAAAUCCACAUUUGCACACACAGGAACCUUGCUUUGUGCAUACAGACGGACCGGACUCACACGCACACGCA